UGUUCGACCUUCUAAAUGCCAAAAGACAUGGGGUAGAUCAGGUCUGGUUGAUCAUUUAUCAAGAAAGGUCCAGAAUGCCAAAGCUCAUUUCACCCUCUUACCCCAUGGUAACAGUGAGGCCGUGAUAUAAAAAGGGUUUUUACACUAGGAACAGGACAGAACAACACUGAGGCUCUUAGUGCCUGUGCUGCAGUCUCUUGAUCAAUUUCUUCCUCCCUUCCCACUCAGAUAAAUGCCUGAUUGGAUCCCACAAUCUCAGUGGGUUCAGAAAGAAAAUGGUGAGCUCAUGGGAAAAGGAGCUGAGGCCCUUUUGUUUACUCUACAGAAAUCAUUCUACUCCAAAGAUGCCAAUCAUAAUAUAAAGAUCCACUGAGGACCAAAUGAAGCUCAGGUCAGCAGAGAGAUAAGGAUGGAUAACAGUGACAUUCCCUGACUUCACUGAGUCAUGUAUCCGGUCACUCAUGCUGCAAGAAUGUGCUAUGGAGUGAUGCAUUUCUCCAGCCCUAACUAUCCUCACCAGGCAUGCAAAAGGUUGUACAAGAGACAGCCCCAGUGAAGUUACGCACACAGGCACCAUUCUGGCAACAUCUGAUAGAGGAGCAUCUCCUGCCUGAGUCCAUGCUUACCAGGCAACUUUCUGAUCAUCAUCUCACUGCCAAGGAUCUCUUCAAUAGGAAAAAGGCCAGCAUUCCAGUCUCCUUGGAGAUGGAUCUUUUAUAAAUCAGUAUUAAGGUUCACAAAAAUAAACACAGUGACUCUCAGUAGUUGAAGGAAAUUGGCACAAACACUGGUGGAAAGUAAACCCCGGUUCCCCUAAUUCCAAACCCACCUCUAUCUACAGACUUCGCCCAUCGGUACUGAACCAGCAAUGGGACAGGUUAUCUUCACAUCACUCGGGGCAGUGUCUCUGCCGCUUAGUUUCUCAGAUAAUUCCUUCUGAGGCAAAAGUGAACUCAGAUACUCUGAAGAUGUCCAAAAAUAUGUAUGGUUUAUUUUUAUUUCUAAUUAUAAAAAAUGACAUGAUUUGAAAGUUUGGGGAAAUAAUCUGGCUUUAAAGGAGUGAGCAAAAGGGAUGCACAGGACCCUGACUGCUCUGCCCUGAGUUCUGAAAGUACUUCAACUAACUGGCUUUGGGACCCAACCUUCCUGGAUUUCGGGGGGGCUUUUCGCUAAUACUGGCUCUUCCCUGCAUCUCCCUCACUCACCCAACCAUAAACAUAUUCAUACUGUAUAUAUGAAAAUAAAAAUGGAAGGCUCUGUUCAAAACUCUCCAGAGAAAUCCAGACUCUCUUCUGUUGCUCACGAUGGAAAUUGUGCCGGGUGAUCCAGCCCAAGGUGAUCCAGCCCAAGGUGAUCCACCCGGAACAGUUUGCUUGGACAUCAUCUCCUUCCUUCUCUGGCUCAGUGUGCACUCAACCACAUCCCUCCUUGCUGUUUUGGAAACACACCAGGCAUGCUCCGGACUCUGCACCUUGGCCAAUGCUCUUCCCUGUCUGAAAUGAUUGUCUGAAAUGAUUAUGGUUCUGUACGCCACUUCUUUCAGUUCUCAGGCUCCCACAAAGAGGUCUUCCCUGCUAAAAUAAAAUCCCUCCUUCCUUCCUUCCCUGCUUAUCUGUCCCUGCAGCAUAGAUCACUGCUAACACACAUCUGUCUAUAUGCACUGUCUGGCGCCCAUUAGAAUGCAGAGUCCAUGGCGAGAGGCUACAUCAAUUUUGUUUGUUGCCAUGCCCCAGACUUAAGAUGGAAUGAAGAAAGCAUACAGUAUUUGUUGAAUAAAUAAAUGAAUGGGGAAGAGAUAGUAAGUUACAGUCAUACUGACCAAACUAAAUUCCAUUAAAUGUGUGCUUUAUCCAAAAUUGAGCAGUACUCACUCUACACCUCUGACACACUGAACAACUGGAUUUGAAGUUUGUUGAUGCCUUACUCUGUCCCAUAUUGACUAGAUGAUGACUGCACAGUGAUCAGUUUACUCUGCAUUUACCUUCAGAGACCCCAUGGUCUCCUCAAGGAGGCAGAUACAUAUUUCGGAAAUUGUAGUAAGUGUUCCAAACACAAAACAACUAACCUGGAGAGGCUAGGAGGAGUUAAGGAAGAACAAGGAGAGGUCGCAGUGUGUCCUGUAUUCUAUAGACAUGUUCGUUCGCACAACCCAUCAGAAAGCAGGGACAAGCAAUUACUCCUACUCUCACCAUGCAGCCAAUCAGAGAACCCCUUGGCUUUUUGAAUUGCAAGGCAAUCCCUUUUCAUGUUGGCAUGCUUCUCCUAACAACUGCUUAAGUAUUUCUCACUAAUCCAGUUGGGAUCAACUGACAUGUGCACACACACUGAGGUUUGGUGAACCUGUCCUCCAGUAAUAAAACACUACACCCUUGGGUUUAAGAUGCACUUCCAUCCUGGAACCCACAUGCCCCAACAUGCACUCCAAGCACUGAUCAAAGCUCACGACAUGGGAUCUGCCAAAAAAUAUCUCACCAACCAAAGCACAGAGGGCCUUUCAUCACACAAACUUCCCAGCCCAGCAGGCUUUUACUGCUUAUUUACAAAGGUAACACACACACACACACACACACACACACACACACACACACGCAUGUGGCAAGUAGAAUUAAAGCUAAUUCUGGAUUUUUUCUAAAUGACUCUCUCAAGGCUUAAUAUCUUUGGUAAAUUUCGAGAAUAUCUUGAAAGGUUUGCAUAUAUGAAAUGCUUUAGAACCUCAGUCACCCUUUAUGAUAAUGCAAAUCUUCCCAAAGGUGUCCUCUUUACCCCUCUGUACUAAUUUUAGCUGUUUCUAGUCAGCAAGAGAAAAAGGAUAUUCACUAGAAAGACAGAGAAGCUGUGAGCCUAGUAAAUAUUUACUGUCUAGAAUUUAACUUCUGUUUAUCUGUAGAACCCAGAAUGUUUGUCUCAAGAUUGAAAAUACCACUACCAAUGUAAAUAAUUCAUGUCCUAACUAAUAGCUAUCAAUUUUCUCAGUCUUUCUUCAGCUUGUCUGGAUGAAAAGCAGUGAAGAAAUGGCUAUAACCUCUUCAAGAGGGGUAAGACAAAGAAUUUGUAACCAUUUUUAAUCCAUUCCAGAAACCACAAAAUGGCAAACAUUGUCUGAAACCCACUCUUAAUUUCCAAUGCUUGGUAGUAGUUUCUCUUGUUUUAUUCUGUAUUUUAGUGGUUAUUCAGUGGCUUGUAGUAGUUACCAUUUUCUAAGCACUUCUCAGAUAUGACAGGACUGUCCAGAACUCUGAGAUUCAUUCAGUCAUACUCAUGUUACAGACACCGAAAAUGAGUGUAAAAAGGUGAAAAAAUUCACCACCACAAAACAAUCUAUAAAAGGUGGAGUCACAAUUCGCACCCAGGUAGGCUUUCUCUAGGAUACCACCAUUUUACAGUUUCAUUAGUUUGUUAUUGCUCUCAAUUUUUUUUCUUUUUUUGGUGCCGGGGAUUGAACUCAGGUCCUUGCGCUUGCGCAGCAGGCGGUGAAACCACUGAGCUAAAUCCCCGGCCCUGCUCUCAAUUUUUGAUCACAUGCUAGGGAGUAUUCUGUUUAGUAAGCUUGUUUAAUAUGAUCCAUAUUGUAAUCCCUACGCAAUGCACACGUGUGUUUUUGAUAAAAAUGAAACGGCUAUGAUUAAAGGGACAGUUACUGCCAUCUCCUCCAAGUGGCUGAAGAAUUCAAGGCCUUGAAUUUCCAGAGCCCUAAAAGCAAGCGUGCUGAUAAGGAAUGGUGCACUCUUCAUCCAGCGAAUGCUCCCUUUUACUGCAAAGGACACUGGGUACCACUCUUGUCCCACUGCCUGUGCAUCCAGAGGCACCUGAAUGACUGUACCACCACAUGUGAGGUGCCAGUAUGAGAAGAACAAAGUUUUCUCUGACACAGGAACUAGGGCCUGUCCACACCUGCAGGCUGGCCUCUAGGUUCCCAGGACAGGUAGCCAAGCACUAUGGGGCUGCAGAGUGCUGAGGCCGAUGAGAAAAGCCAGAGACCAACGAAGCUGGCAGCCGAGGCUGUGAGGCAAGAGUGCGCCAGGUCUGGAGGCGGCAUAUUCCGAAUAUCACACUGAGUCCCCCAGUCAAACAAAGCAGAUCCAAGUACAGAAAUGGUUGCUGUAGGACCGGGAAUUUAGCUCAGUGGUUCUGCCAUCUGCCUCACAAGCACAAGGACCAGUUCAAUCCCUGGUACCAAAAACAAAAUAAAAAAACAAAAGACAGAAAUGGUCACUGUGGCUGGAAGCAGGUGGAAGUCAAAGUGGCAAGAAAAAGGAGGGAUGUGAUGUGAGAAAGAGGAAGUUAGGCAAAGACUGGCAGGCAAUUCGGACCCUGCACCAAUGUCAAGUCCACAUUAUUAAGAGAAUUAGUAGCUCAUCCUCCCCCUCCAUGGAACUCAGCUGCCAUUCUAGGAAGACACCUGAGCAGCUACAUACAAGGCCUUUGUCGAAGAGAAUGAGCUUAUUCAGUUUACAGGAAACCCCACCGAGCUUCCCAGCUAUGUGCUUAAACCAUCUUGGAAGUGGACAAGCCUUCUUCCCCACAAAGCUCUGCCCAAACUGUAAAAUCAUGAGCA